GCGUCGGCAGUGCAACGGUCAGCAUACGCUCCCGGAAGGAGUGAGAUCUGGGUUCGAAUCUCGGCUGACGCA